UACGUAGGGUCCGAGCGUUGUCCGGAAUUAUUGGGCGUAAAGAGCUCGUAGGCGGUUUGUCGCGUCUGCUGUGAAAUCCCGAGGCUCAACUCCGGAUCUGCGGUGGGUACGGGCAGACUAGAGUGAUGUAGGGGAGACUGGAAUUCCUGGUGUAGCGGUGAAAUGCGCAGAUAUCAGGAGGAACACCGAUGGCGAAGGCAGGUCUCUGGGCAUUAACUGACGCUGAGGAGCGAAAGCAUGGGGAGCGAACAGG
rnacentral:rRNA from 1 species